rnacentral:miRNA from 1 species
GAAAUAAACAUACCACCCAGGAGGUGUGAGAAAAUAUUUUAUAUAUAUAUAUAUAUAUAUAUAUAUAUGGUAUAUCUAUAUGUAUAAAAUUAAAAUUGAUUUACUCACCCCUCCUGGGUGGUAUGUUUUAUAUA